rnacentral:lncRNA from 1 species
GAACAGUCACAGUGGAAAAAGUAUUUAGUGAAACUAAUACUAUCAAACAACAGCUCACAGAGGGUUUUCAACUAUUAAAUGGGUUUGAGAGCCUUAAUGUAUCUGGACCUAGGGGUGAUGGCCACAUUGUUGAUUUCGAAGUGGAUGUCAGUGUCAUAUUUCUGACUAAAAAACUUACAAAAAUAACAGCUGACCUGGAAACGACUGUAGGCUCCUCUGCCAAAAUAUCUGUUGAAACAUCAGGUAAAUGUCCUCCCUCUUCCAUUACAGUACAGUCCUUUCACAUAGUGAUAUUAAGACCAUGAGGAGAUCUG